UGAGGAGGACAGGUUUCCCUCGGCCAUUGGUUGCCCGGAUAUAUCACCAUACCUAGCUUCCAUCUUUUUGCCACGUAUUGCCGGCCCCCAUACGUACUCAACCCUAUAAAUCAAACCCUUACAUUUCAGAGUUGAAUCGUUUAAGAAAAAAUGCCAGACCAUCCACCACCACCACACGGCGGCCACGGUCACGCACCACCCCCAGGUCCGGGACACCACGAGCCUCCUCCGCCCCAUGGCCAUGCUCCUCCUCCGGGGCCUCAUGCACCUCCUCCGGGACCCCAUGCACCUCCUCCGGGACCCCAUGCACCUCCUCCGGAACCCCAUGCACCUCCUCCGGGACCCCAUGCACCUCCUCAUGAUCCACACAAGCCACAUGACUGUCACCACGGUCACCACCACCCAUGAACCGAACUAGUCAUGAGGCCACGAUCGAGAAGCUAGUCUCAGCAAGUUGUUAUCUAUUUAUCUUUGUGCCUGUAAUGUGAUCUAGCUGCGGUUGUAGUUCUGAGUUGCUGGGUUUACUGGCUUUGCUCCAUUGAUCUCAUCGUUAUGUAAUGACUAAAAUAUGAGGACUAUGUAUGUAUCCAAAAGAAGGCUGAUCAUAUAUGUAUAAUAAGAAGAGUACUGGCUUUGUGGUUUAUGUAUAAUCCGCUUGUGUAAAACUUCUUCUUUUAUCCGUCUAAAUGUGAUGUAUAAUCAGAAAAUAUGGCCAGUUUGUCAUCUUGACCAACCUGAACUUACAAACUAAUUAAUUAAGUCAAUCUCCCCAAUUUCAUCAAUCUUCAUUAGGAUUUCAUCACUAGCUCAUUCCUUCACAGAUAAUUAACCAUUUGCUCGAUUGCUCUUAACAAACUGUAAUAGCCAAGAGGCAAACGCAUCCAUCUAAAUUCUAAAAAGUUAUUAACACAGGCUAGGGGUAAAUUAUCCUUUGUUCAGACCAAUCUCACAGUUGAAGCGAUGAAUUGGCUAAAACAAAAGCCUACGGGCAGAAAAACAAAGCAUCUCUAUUCGUACGGAAGAAUGACUUCCAUAUAUAGUAAGCCUUAUAGUUAUAACACCGUAAGUGUAUAAGAAUAGGAAUUCAUAAACGCAAUAAGAAGAAGACCGUGAAAGAGAUCGAAGAUUAAAGCAGGCCUUAAUGUCUUGUAUAUUCUGUACAAAAUUUCAACAGCCAGAUUUUCUCGAUGCAUUCGUCAGCUUCUGUUUGUAACCUUUCUUCUGUCAAAUCCUCCAUGGCUUUUCACGAGCAAUAAUUCUUGCAAGGUCCCAUUAACAAGCCUCACGUACGUUGUUCUUAUCUCCUUUUCCUUAGCUCACCAAGAAUUCAACUAUUACCAAGUGCAGCAACUAGUUUCUGUGAUCGAUCUACGGAAAGUUAAAGUUAUUGCUCAAAAGAGAAAGAGAAAACGGAAGUUAAAGUUCCAUGCUGCCCUAGUUCAAGUACGCACUCAGUUAUGAUCUUGUGGUUCUUACAAUGGAUGAAUGGAUGAAGCAUUACCACACAAAUACUCAGAAGAGAAAAACAAAACAACCACAGUGCACGAUUAACAUGCUAGCUAGCUUUCAUUGUGUGCAAAUAUCCUGAGCUACCAUUCCACCAAAACAAGCUAAAUAAGUUUAUCCUUGUAUGGAUAUUAUGUGAAUCGAAAUAAUUGUAUAUUUGAUUCUUAGAUAUUAUGUGGCACCUAUUACAACGAAGCAUGUGCCAUAUUCUGAAGAUAAUGUCGACACAUCUGAAUCAUCUAGAGCCCGUACCGACACCUUUCUCCUAUAAAAUCAACUCCUACUAGCUUAAACUCUUCAACAGUUCGCCACAUCAAGAACAACUUUCUUUUUGUUUAUACAAGCUAGUAGUCUCACCAAGAAUUCGAAGAUGCAUCACGGUGAUCAUCACGGCGGACCACCACACCACGGAGGAGGUCCGGGAGGAGGUCCGGGAGGUCCAGGAGGCGGCCCUCAACAUGGUCAUGGUCAUCAAGGAGCUCCGGGAGGAGGGCAUGGAGGACCAGGAGGAGGAGGGCAUGGAGGGCAAGGAGGAGGAGGACACGGAGGACCAGGAGGAGGAGGACAUGGAGGAGGAGGAGGAGGAGGACGAGGGGGGAGGAGGAGGACAUGGAGGAGGAGGAGGAGGAGGACGAGGGAGGAGGAGGAGGAGGACAUGGAGGAGGAGGAGGACGACGGAGGGCAUGGUGGUCACUGAUCAUGGCGCUAGACUACGUAUACUACUUGUGGUGUACUAGCUGGCUGAAUAAGUCUCUCUAUGUGACUUCUGUAGUAUUGUUUGUGUGUUAUCAUUUCCUAGUUGGGUCGAUCAGAUCCUAGAUAGUGAAGCUAGCUAGGGGAGUCGAUCUUGUGUUUGGAGUCUGUUAAUUAAUGUAUGUGUAUGGAUGUGUAAUAAAACCAUACUAGCUAUGUAUUUGAUUCGAGGCUUAACAUAUAUUGCAUGCAGCUAUAUAUAUAUAUAUAUAUAUAAUAUCCUUAGAUGACUAAGAACAUAAGAAACAGAGCAGUACUAUUGAUGAUUUACAAGAUUCAAUUUGUAUAAGUGAUCUUUGGCUUGUCCUAAUUAACCAUCAAGCAAAGCGCUAAGAACGAACAUAUUAUAUAUACUGCCAGAUGAUCAAGCAACUUUGCAGAGGGAUCAUGACGAAAUGUCCAUCUAGCAGCUUAAAUGCUUAAUUAGAACAAUUUUGCAAAACAAACACAAACUUGUAUAAUACGGUACCGAAAAUAUAAGUAUAACCGUUUGAAAUGUCAAGUUUAUCAAUCUUAUGAAAUCGAAGUAUCGUAAAUCGAUAAUGAUCUUCUUCAAAACUAGAACGAGAAUGUAACGUGUCUAUAUGACACUAUAAAUGUCUACGAAAUCAUGCGUUAAGAACAUAAUAUUAUAUUCCUUCGUUUUUUACUAAAGAAUAUCAUUACCGUUAAGCUUUAAUUGACAUACGUACGAUUGUACUUUGUAGUGAUACAUCUAAUUAUAUUGGUCGUGUGGUGCCCUUAGUAUAUUAAAAGGAAAAAACUAAAGAGACCAAAAGGCCCAAAGGAAACCACAGAAAUUGUCAUAAAGGUACAAGUGCAGCCCAACUUUCNNNNNNNNNNNNNNNNNNNNNNNNNNNNNNNNNNNNNNNNNNNNNNNNNNNNNNNNNNNNNNNNNNNNNNNNNNNNNNNNNNNNNNNNNNNNNNNNNNNNNNNNNNNNNNNNNNNNNNNNNNNNNNNNNNNNNNNNNNNNNNNNNNNNNNNNNNNNNNNNNNNNNGUCCUGAUCAUCACCUUCCUUGCCUAUGCUUCCUUCCACGCCUCCAGGAAGCCCCCCAGCAUCGUCAAGAGUGUUCUUGGCCCCAAACUCCUGUCCAAUUCGAGCUCUUUCGACACCGGUUGGGCUCCCUUUAAUGGCCCUGAUGGCACUCACAGGCUUGGAGAACUUGAUCUUGCAUUUCUAUCUGCAUAUUCUAUUGGAAUGUAUUUUGCAGGGCAUGUUGGUGAUAGGAUUGAUUUGAGGUUGUUUCUUGCUUAUGGGAUGUUAGGGAGUGGAGUUUUGACUUGUCUUUUCGGGUUAGGUUAUUGGUGCAAUGUGCAUAUGUUGUGGUACUUUGUGGGUGUGCAAGUUGUGUGUGGGUUGUUUCAGUCAAUAGGGUGGCCUUCUGUUGUGGCAGUUGUGGGGAAUUGGUUUAGGGUUUAGACAGCGGCCAUCACACGCCGGCCACGGUCACGCACCACCCCCAGGUCCGGGACACCACGAGCCUCCUCCGCCCCAUGGCCAUGCUCCUCCUCCGGGGCCUCAUGCACCUCCUUCGGGACCCCAUACACCUCCUCCGGAACCCCAUGCACCUCCUCCGGGACCCCAUGCACCUCCUCAUGAUCCACACAAGCCACAUGACCCGCACCACGGUCACCACCACCCAUGAACCGAACUAGUCAUGAGGGAUCACGAAGCUAGCUAGUCUCAGCAAGUUGUUAUCUAUUUCUGCCUGUAAUGUGAUCUAGCUGCGCUUGUAGUUCUGAGUUGCUGGGUUUACUGGCUUUGCUCCAUUGAUCUCAUCGUUAUGUAAUGACUAAAAUAUGAUGACUAUGUAUGUAUCCAAAAGAAGGCUGAUCAUAUAUGUAUAAUAAGAAGAGUACUGGCUUUCUGGUUUAUGUAUAAUCCGCUUGUGUAAAACUUCUUCUCUGUUAUCGGUCUAAAUGUGAUGUAUGAUCAGAAAAUAUGGUCAGUUUGUCCUCUUGACCAACCUUAACUUACAAACUAAUUAAGUCAAUCUCCCCAAUUUCAUCAAUCUUUAUUAGGAUUUCAUCACUCAUUCCUUCACAGAUAAUUAACCACACAUCCAAGCUGCAUUUGCUCGAUUGCUCUUAACAAACUGUAAUAAUUAACCAAGAGGCAAACGCAUCCAUCUAAAGUCUAAAAAUUAAGUUAUUAACACAAGGUUAAAUUAUCCAUUGUUCAGACCAAUCUCACAGUUAGAGCGAUGAAUUGGCUAAAACAAAAACCUACGGGAGAAAAAGAAAGCAUGUCUAUUCAUACGGAUGAAUGACUUCCAUAUAUAGUAAGCCUUAUAGUUAUAACACCGUAAGUGUAUAAGAAUAGGAAUUCAUAAACACAAUAAGAAGAAGAUCGUGAAAGAGAUCGAAGAUUAAAGCAGGCCUUACUGUCUUACAUAUUCUGUACAACAUUUCAACUGCUAGAUUUUCUCGAUGCAUUCGUUAGCUUCUGUUUGUAACCUUUCUUCUGUCAAAUCCUCCAUAUACGAACUCAUGGCUUUUCACGAGCAAUAAUUCUUAAAAGGUCCCAUUAACAAGCCUCAAGUACGUUGUUCUUAUCUCCUUUUCCUUAGCUCACCAAGAAUUCAACUAUUCCCAAGUGCAGCAACUAGUUUCUGUGAUCGAUCUACGCAAAGUUAAAGUUAUUGCUCAAAAGAGAAAGAGAAAACGGAAGUUAAAGUUCCAUGCUGCCCUAGUUCAAGUACGCACUCAGUUAUGACCUUGUGGUUCUUACAAUGGAUGAAGCAUUACCAAACAAAUACUCAGAAGAGAAAAACAAAACAACCACAGUGCACGAUUAACAUGCUAGCUAGCUUUCAUUGUGUGCAAAUAUCCUGAGCUACCAUUCCACCAAAACAAGCUAAAUAAGUUUAUCCUUGUAUGGAUAUUAUGUGAAUCGAAAUAAUUGUAUAUUUGAUUCUUAGAUAUUAAGUGGCACCUAUUACAACGAAGCAUGUGCCAUGCAUUCUGAAGAUCAUGUCGACACAUCUUAAUAAUCUGGAGCCCGUACCGACACCUUUCUCCUAUAAAAUCAACUCCUACUAGCUUAAACUCUUCAACAGCUCGCCACAUCAAGAACAACUUUCUUUUUGUUUAUACAAGCUAGUAGUCUCACCAAGAAUUCGAAGAUGCAGCACGGUGAUCACCAAGGAGGAGGUCCGGGAGGUCCGGGAGGUCCAGGAGGAGGUCCGGGAGGUCCAGGAGGCGGCCCUCAACAUGGUCAAGGUCAUCAAGGGGGUCCGGGAGGAGGGCAUGGAGGACCAGGAGGAGGAGGACAAGGGGACCAGGAGGAGGAGGACAAGGAGGACCAGGAGGUGGAGGACAAGGAGGACCAGGAGGAGGAGGACAAGGAGGACCAGGAGGAGGAGGAGGAGGAGGAGGAGGACAUGGUGGUCACUGAUCAUGGCUCUAGACUACGUAUACUACUUGUGGUGUACUAGCUAGCUGAAUAAAAGUCUCUAUGUGACUUCUGUGUUAUCGUUUAUGUGUUAUCAUUUCCUAGUUGGGUCGAUGAGAUCCUAGAUAGUGAAGCUAGCUAGGGGAGUCGAUCUUGUGUUUGGAGUCUGUUAAUGUAUGUGUAAUAAAACCAUACUAGUUAUGUAUUUGAUUCGUCUCUUAGGCUUAACAUUGCAUGCAGCUAUAAUAUUCUUAGAUGACUAAGAACAUAAGAAACAGAGCAGUACUGUUGGUGAUUUACAAGAUUCAAUUUGUAUAACUGAUCUUUGGCUGUCCUAAAUAACCAUCAAGCAGCAAAGCUAAGAACGAACAUAUUAUAU
rnacentral:lncRNA from 1 species